CCAGGGGUGGCGGAGUGGACAAUCGCACCAGGCUGUAAACCUGGCGGGCUUUGGCCCUACGCAGGUUCGAAUCCUGCCCCCUGGA
rnacentral:tRNA from 1 species